ACAGGUUCAUAUUGCAAUCAUUCCAACCAGCAAACCCGUGACGUGUGAGGACUUGUAAGACACACCAAUAUGAACUGUAUAACCUAUGCCUUUUCCUAAACACACAAUCUUUGCAUUGUAAAGAAAGACAGCAUUAUUGGACACCUUUUUUAAAGCGUGUGCUGUAGGAACAACUUGGACAUCAAAAUAUCACAUAAAUGAGAUGUAAAGAUAAUCCACAUGGCACUAUUAAACUUCACAACAACAACAACCUCAAACAGACUGUGUUUGGAAACAAUAUUAAAGCUUGUAACUGACUCCGAUUACUUUGUGUUUUUUUUUUUCCCUAGCUAGAUAUCAUUUUUAGCAUACAUUGAGAAGUAGGGAAACUGAUAACAUACCAAACCAGCACAUGAGACCUUAAGCAGGUAUGAGUUUAGCAUGUGGGAGAAAAGGACACUGGGUAUGUUUGCCUUCUCUCCAAGAAAGCAUUUAGUUGGGUAUGAAUUUGGCAUGCUUGGCAAUUUGGCAAGUUGUUUUUUAACCCUCUGUUGUAGGAUUCAGUUUGAUGCCAUAGACACUGAGAGCAGAACUGCUCCACUGUGAAAGCUUCUGACUUGAAUCUCUGGAAGCAUUUAUCCGAAAAUGACCAGCAAGUUUCUGGAAAGAGGGAAAACACAAAUAUCCCUACGUCUGUUUCAUGUUAUUGUGUUUCUUCCCCUUACAUUCACAAUUCCCACUGGCACUUGUGGAAAAUAAAUAUGACCAGAAUAAAGGGUAGAGAAUGAAUCCUUUAACAUACAUUUAGAGGCAAACGUAGAAAAACUGUACGAAGAAAGGCUUUCUUAACUUCUGGAUUUAAUGACUUCAAAGAAUCCCUUUUAGAGUCCACAUUACUAUCUGCAAGCAGCUAGGAAGCAGAAAUACAAAACCACAAAACAAAUGGCCAAGUAACAUAAUAUUACAUAAUAGUGUGGUUAAAUGGCAAGGAAUCUAAAACCUACACUGCUCCUUCCACUCAUGAACCUUUAACAGUUUUAAAAGCAUAAGAUACUAAUUUUUUGUUGUUUGCAUCUUUUGUUGUUCCUACUGAACAAAACCCUCUGCUCACUAAGGAACAGUUUACACCACCAAAAGCUUCUAGAUAACAGCAGUAUAUGCAUACAUACAUAAAAAUCCCAUAGAUGCAGAUAAAUACUAUUUGUGAACAACAGUCAUUAAGUAUAUACUUUCAGUGAAACAACUGAAUGCAAAGUUUUAAAGGGACUCCUAAGUUCACUAAUAAGAAAAUUGUAUCAGCUGUUUUUAUUUAUGUAGCUGAAUUUGUAUUUGUGUUUAAUAGAAUUAAUCUUUUCCAAGUUAUGGUUGCUACGAUUAAACUCAGAAACCAUUAAAAUGAGAUUAGCUAUUUUUAACUGAAGCCUUCUAGGUGAGAAGAUACCAUCACAUACAGAUGAACUUGAGUGACAUUUUGACCAGGCAAGUCAAAAUUUCUUCUUCUGUGAAAGUUUGUACUGCAAGAACUAUUUACAUUCUGCUGCAAUAAUACUGCAAAACUACCACUGCUUUAAACCUAGUAUUGUCAGCAUUUAUUAUAUAUUUCAUUAAGCCUUUCUUUCUGUUAACAAAGCUUUGCCCCAUCAUCAUCAGCGCUUGCAUUUCUUAUCCUCAAUUCCUACUCAAUUUAAACCUCACUCUCCAAAAAUUUAACUGUAAUUAACAAGGACUGUAAUUUUUUCAAAUAAAGUAAAUUAAUUUGAAAGUCUUAUCAGAUCUCUUCACAGCUGAGGAACAAUCUCUCCUCUGAAAUUAUGUUCUUCUGAUGGUAACUGGUAACAACACAGUGAGUCUGUUUUACCCAUGUAAUGGGGAGAGCAGCAAAAUCUGGAUAGGCACUAGAAGUACUCUACAAAAGGUCAGAAACAAAUUGAAGCCAAUCUAAAUUUUACUUGAGACUUCCUAUCAAAAAUAGCUCUCAUUUUAAGUAUGAUGAGAAACAAGAAUAAUUAAAUUUGACUGAAUGUAUUCUAGAUAUCCAUAGUUGAUUUUGCAGUUCAGUGUUUGAGUCUGACGUAAUUCUGUGGUUGAGAGGCUGUUGGAUGUGCUGCUUUCUGUAAUAAUUCCCAAUCUGCAAUGUAUAUUAUUUCCUAUUUGUAGAUUUAAAAA